rnacentral:rRNA from 1 species
UACGGAGGGUGCAAGCGUUAUCCGGAUUCACUGGGUUUAAAGGGUGCGUAGGUGGGCUGGUAAGUCAGUGGUGAAAUCUCCAGGCUUAACUUGGAAACUGCCAUUGAUACUAUCAGUCUUGAAUACCGUGGAGGUCAGCGGAAUAUGUCAUGUAGCGGUGAAAUGCUUAGAUAUGACAUAGAACACCAAUUGCGAAGGCAGCUGGCUAAACGAAUAUUGACACUGAUGCACGAAAGCGUGGGGAUCAAACAGG